CCUACGGGAGGCAGCAGUGGGGAAUCUUGCGCAAUGGGCGAAAGCCUGACGCAGCCAUGCCGCGUGAAUGAUGAAGGUCUUAGGAUUGUAAAAUUCUUUCACCGGGGACGAUAAUGACGGUACCCGGAGAAGAAGCCCCGGCUAACUUCGUGCCAGCAGCCGCGGUAAUACGAAGGGGGCUAGCGUUGCUCGGAAUUACUGGGCGUAAAGGGAGCGUAGGCGGAUAGUUUAGUCAGAGGUGAAAGCCCAGGGCUCAACCUUGGAAUUGCCUUUGAUACUGGCUAUCUUGAGUACGGAAGAGGUAUGUGGAACUCCGAGUGUAGAGGUGAAAUUCGUAGAUAUUCGGAAGAACACCAGUGGCGAAGGCGACAUACUGGUCCGUUACUGACGCUGAGGCUCGAAAGCGUGGGGAGCAAACAGGAUUAGAUACCCUGGUAGUCCACGCUGUAAACGAUGAGUGCUAGUUGUCGGCAGGCAUGCUGUCGGUGACGCGAGCUACGACAUAAGACACUCCGCCGUGGGAGGUACGGUCGCGAGAAUAAACUACAANAGAAGUAGACGGCGUGAGACGUGCCGACGGACGACGACGAGGGAGGAGG
rnacentral:rRNA from 1 species